AGACGUCUACAUUAGAUACCCCCGUAGUCCCAGCCGUAAACUAUGCGCGUUAGGUGUAUCGGUGACCACGAGUUACCGAGGUGCCGAAGGGAAACCGUGAAACGUGCCGCCUGGGAAGUACGGUCGCAAGGCUGAAACUUAAAGGAAUUGGCGGGGAGCACAACAACGGGUGGAGCCUGCGGUUUAAUUGGACUCAACGCCGGGAAGCUCACCGGAUAAGACAGCGGAAUGAUUGCCGGGCUGAAGACUCUGCAUGACUAGCUG
rnacentral:rRNA from 1 species